GACAGGGGGCUGCUAGUACAAGCGGAAACAGAAGUGAAGACACAAGAAGAAGAGCUCCCCUUCUGCACUGUGCUGAGCUCUCCGUACGUAUACGCAUAAUGAAGUCUUUGAGUACUCAUAGCAUCACUGUGAGAGGCAGUUUUUCUAUUAUAAUUGAAAAAUGGACUUUCUGAAGACUCGUUCUCCUCAGCACUAGGGUGUUUUCCAAUGAGUCA